GUGGGGAAUAUUGGGCAAUGGGGGAAACCCUGACCCAGCGACGCCGCGUGAGGGAAGAAGGCCUUAGGGUCGUAAACCUCUGUUGUGUGGGGAGAAGAGCGUGACGGUACCACACGAGGAAGUCCCGGCUAACUACGUGCCAGCAGCCGCGGUAAUACGUAGGGGACGAGCGUUGUCCGGAUUUACUGGGCGUAAAGGGCGCGUAGGCGGUCAUUUAAGUCAGCUGUGAAAUGGUUUGGCUUAACAGGAUAAUGCGGUUGAAACUGGAUGACUGGAGGGCUGGAGAGGCAAGUGGAAUUCCCAGUGUAGCGGUGAAAUGCGUAGAUAUUGGGAAGAACACCGGUGGCGAAGGCGACUUGCUGGCCAGCAACUGACGCUGAGGCGCGAAAGCCAGGGGAGCAAACGGGAUUAGAAACCCCUGUAGUCC
rnacentral:rRNA from 1 species